UCCCCAGUAGCUCAGUGGUAGAGCAAGUGACUGUUAAUCACUUGGUCGGGUGUUCAAUCCACCCCUGGGGAGCCA
rnacentral:tRNA from 1 species